GUGUCAGCCGCCGCGGUAAUACAGAGGGGGCGAGCGUUAUUCGGAAUUAUUGGGCGUAAAGGGCGCGUAGGCGGCCGCGUAAGUCUCGGGUGAAAUCCCUCGGCUCAACCGAGGAACUGCCCUGGAAACUGCGCGGCUCGAGGCCGGGAGAGGAUGGUGGAAUUCCCAGUGUAGCGGUGAAAUGCGUAGAUAUUGGGAGGAACACCGGUGGCGAAGGCGGCCAUCUGGACCGGUCCUGACGCUGAGGCGCGAAAGCGUGGGGAGCAAACAGGAUUAGAUACCCCAGUAGUCC
rnacentral:rRNA from 1 species